rnacentral:rRNA from 1 species
AUGAGAAUUUCCAUUGAUGAGUGCAAAGAAAGAACCGCUAGGAUGCGUGCUUUCAAAGAUGCCUUUAUUAAAGCGUGUUGUUCCAAUUCCUAUGAAAAUCAAGAUGAAGAUCUAAAAGUUAUUAAUGUGUCCCCCAUUAAAUCUUUGUUUUGGAAUAUGAAUCUUGAUGAAACUGAAUAUGAUCUUCCUUUACCUAGAAGGCGGUCUAAGAAUUCAGAGUUUCUAGAUCUUGAUGAUGAAAUUGAAGAAAGUGGGAUUGAAAGAAAUAAAAACCUAGAUGUUGCUAAACCCACUAUUUUGGAUCUCAAGGAAUUUAAUUAUGAAAUUGCUCUUUGA